rnacentral:misc_RNA from 1 species
CAUUUGGAUUAUUAAGCGAAAAUCCGACUCAAGUUGAUCUUGAUGAUAGGUCUUGGAUUAAGAGAGCUGUGUAGGGGAUCCGCUCCCAUACGUAUUUAUACUUGAUGUGAUUUAUGUAUGUGUGAGUGCUUCAAAUUAUUAUUUGUGCAAAUAUUAUUUUAAUUUGGUAAAAUUUGUUGAUCGGUGUUGUAUUUCAUCCUUAAGGAUGCAUUAGAAUUAAAUAGUUAUAGAAAUUGUUUUUAAAAUAAAUAUCUUAGUCUACCAGUCUUCUAACUGGUCUGUGGCACUGGUCUGUGGCAAGACCAC